UGGGGGUUAUAAGUUGAUGCUUUGAUAUCUAGCUUGUGGAGGUUGCACAUUGGUAUUUUGAUACCCUACUAGUGGAGGUUCUAUAUUGAUACUUCGAUACCCUGUCAGUGGAGAUUAUAUACUAGUAUUUUGAUAUCCUGCCAGUGAGAAUCAUGUGCUAAUACUUUGAUGAAGUGAAUUUCAGUGCAGGGAUAAAACGAUAAUUUUAAAACUUUUUUAAAAUUAUAAUUUUACAGUAAAAAUUAUUAAUUAAUCUAAUUAAUUAACAUGUAUUAAUCCUACAC
rnacentral:lncRNA from 1 species